UUUAAAAGGAUCCAAUGGAUCGGAUGGAUCCAAUGGAUCCGAUGGAUAAAUAGAUCCUUUGUUUAAAAGGGAUCCAAUGGAUCGGAUGGAUAUCUAUUUAUCCUUUGGAUCCAUCCGAUCCAUCGGAUCCUUUUUU
rnacentral:miRNA from 1 species